rnacentral:tRNA from 1 species
GCGCGGAUGGUUUAGAGGUUAGAAUUCUUGCUUCCCAUCUUCUCCUGAGAUAGCAAGGGACCCGGGUUCGAAUCCCGGUUCGCGCA